rnacentral:misc_RNA from 1 species
UCCGGCUUUCACCGGCUGUCUCUUUAGAGUGCCCAACUGAAUGCUGGCAACUAAAGAUAAGGGUUGCGCUCGUUGCGGGACUGAACCCAACAUCUCACGACACGAGCUGACGACAACCAUGCACCACCUGUCACCGCUGCCCCGAAGGGGGAGUGUAUCUCUACACUUUUCAGCGGGAUGUCAAGCCCUGGUAAGGUUCUUCGCGUUGCUUCGAAUUAAACCACAUGCUCCACCGCUUGUGCGGGCCCCCGUCAAUUCCUUUGAGUUUCAGCCUUGCGGCCGUACUCCCCAGGCGGAGUGCUUAAUGUGUUAACUUCGGCACUGAGGGAGGGAUCCCCCAACACCUAGCACUCAACGUUUACGGCGUGGACUAC